GCCGGCCAAUGUACUAAUAACAAAAAAAGGCGUUCUAAAGAUCGCUGACUUCGGAUUAUCAAGAGCAUUCAAAGAAAACAGCAACGGUGAGCAAAAUCGUUUUACAAAUAGAGUGGUGACUAUAUGGUACCGGCCACUGGAGCUUUUACUCGGUGAAAGGAACUAUGGCCCCUCUAUUGAUAUGUGGGGGGCUGGUUGCAUACUGGCCGAAAUGUAGACGAGCUUCAUCAAAUCUGUUACCUAUGCGGAUCAAUAACUCCUGAAGCUUGGGUCGGUGUUGACAAUCUGCCACUGUUCAACAGCCUUCAUUCACCCAAGAAUCACAGGCGAUGGGGGAAGAGCCACGCGACUUGAAGUCACUGAUAUCCAGGUUUAGUGGGAAAUCGUACUCGACGUUAAACCCAUCGGAGCAUCGUUAUAUGCUUCUAAAAGCGCCCGCGACUGCAGCACCUGCAGAGGAUUGCUAUGAAGAGAGAAUAUUCUAGUCAUAGCAGUCUUUUAGCAAGGUGUCGAUGAGGAUCGUGUGGAAAUAGUAUAUUGUGCAAUGAGUGCGAUAAGAUGCCAAAUAUGCACUUAAAAGUUUAU